CGGGUAUGAGCGGCGGACGGGUGAGUAACACGUAGGUAAUCUACCCUUGUGGGGAUAACCCGGGGAAACCCGGGCUAAUACCGCAUAUGGCCUUCGGGUCAAAGCCUUCGGGCGCCAGAGGACGAGCCUGCGGCGCAUUACCUAGUUGGUAGGGUAAUGGCCUACCAAGGGAACGAUGCGUAGCUGGUCUGAGAGGAUGAUCAGCCACACUGGGACUGAGACACGGCCCAGACUCCUACGGGAGGCAGCAGUGGGGAAUAUUGCGCAAUGGGCGAAAGCCUGACGCAGCCACGCCGCGUGGGUGAUGAAGGCCUUCGGGUUGUAAAGCCCUGUCGGGAGGGAAGAAGUUCUGACGGUACCUCCCAAGAAAGCACCGGCUAACUCCGUGCCAGCAGCCGCGGUAA
rnacentral:rRNA from 1 species